rnacentral:rRNA from 1 species
AGAGUUUGAUCCUGGCUCAGAACGAACGCUGGCGGCAUGCCUAACACAUGCAAGUCGAACGGGACCUUCGGGUCUAGUGGCGCACGGGUGCGUAACGCGUGGGAAUCUGCCCUUGGGUUCGGAAUAACUCAGAGAAAUUUGAGCUAAUACCGGAUGAUGUCGAAAGACCAAAGAUUUAUCGCCCAAGGAUGAGCCCGCGUAGGAUUAGCUUGUUGGUGAGGUAAAAGCUCACCAAGGCGACGAUCCUUAGCUGGUCUGAGAGGAUGAUCAGCCACACUGGGACUGAGACACGGCCCAGACUCCUACGGGAGGCAGCAGUGGGGAAUAUUGGACAAUGGGCGAAAGCCUGAUCCAGCAAUGCCGCGUGAGUGAUGAAGGCCUUAGGGUUGUAAAGCUCUUUUACCAGGGAUGAUAAUGACAGUACCUGGAGAAUAAGCUCCGGCUAACUCCGUGCCAGCAGCCGCGGUAAUACGGAGGGAGCUAGCGUUGUUCGGAAUUACUGGGCGUAAAGCGCGCGUAGGCGGUUUUUCAAGUCAGAGGUGAAAGCCCGGAGC